GCGGCGCUGGAGAGGGGGCGCUGAGCUGUUGGGGUGAUAUGAAGUGUAACAGAACAGACUUUACCACCUGAAACUGCUGCUUCAAGUUCAGAUCAGGCAAGGAACAAACCUCGUAACAACUAACAAGACCAAAGAAGAGUACACUUAAGUUGAAGACACAACACUUGAUCUGAAACAAGAAGUUUGUGCCUACUCAACAGCUUUGAAAGAGCACUUCCCAACGCUGCUAGUAGUCUUUGUUUUCUUCAGUGCUGUACUGUGAGAUUGCCCGGUACAGCAGCAGUUGUAUUCUUUAUUAGCUUGGUAGAUCAUUUUCUCUCGCUCUUUUUUUUAAUACUAGCAACUUUCAUCCUUUGAAACGUGUGCUGAAAAAGAAGAAUCAGCAAAUACUACUGAAAGUGCAAUAUUUGAGUAUCACUGCGAGCUGUUUGAGAUGGAGAACGUUUUUACUGUGUCAUCAGAUCCUCAUCCCUCUCCUGCAGCCCCUCCUUCACUUUCUUUACCCUUAUCUUCAUCUUCUACCUCAUCUGG
rnacentral:lncRNA from 1 species